UACGGAGGGUGCGAGCGUUGUUCGGAAUUACUGGGCGUAAAGGGCGCGUAGGCGCCUUACAAGUCAGGUGUGAAAGUCCACGGCUCAACCGUGGAAGUGCAUUUGAAACUGUAAGGCUUGAGUACUGGAGGGGAGUGUGGAAUUCCUGGUGUAGAGGUGAAAUUCGUAGAUAUCAGGAGGAAUACCGGUGGCGAAGGCGACACUCUGGACAGAUACUGACGCUGAGGCGCGAAAGCGUGGGGAGCAAACAGGAUUAGAUACCCUUGUA
rnacentral:rRNA from 1 species